UGAUGUUUGGAAAAUCAAAGAUGUUAUCUUUUAGAGAAUCACCCUUCGUCGGAAUGGGCGGUGUUGGAAAAAAAACACUUCGGUAAAACCACUCUUGCCAUGCAAGGGGAAUAUAUCGGGAUUUCUUCCCCAAAUCGUCAAACCACACCCAACGCACAGCAGUAGCGGCGCAUUCUUCCCCAAGCACGCCAAUCUCUUGCAAUUACAUCAACAAGGAGUUAAUCGGUGUCAUUCUUCCGCGUAUUUGAUAUAUCAUUCGGAGUUGAAUCAGAAGACGUACGCUGCAGAAGAUAUGAAGGAAUCAUUUGAGAUGUUCCCAUACAUCUGCGUGUUUUGGCAGUAAUAGACGAGAUGAGGUUCGGCGGCAUAUUGAGGUGUGGUCAACCAAAGGACAUUGACCACCAUCUUAUCACCGCGUUGAUUGAACGAUGGAGGCCAGAGACUCACACGUUUCACUUUCCAGUCGGUGAAGCGACAGUGACAUUGGAAGACGUGGAGGUCUUAUGGGGCCUCAAAGUUGACGGUGAUGCUUUGACGGGUUACAUCCGCACUAAGGAUGUCAACUAUUGGAUGCAACUUUCUCUGGAUUAUCUUGAAUUUGUACUAGAUACAGUUAAGUUGAAAGAAAUGGUUUGGAAACAGACAAGCUUAUCAAAUCAACUAAGGAUUGAGUUGAGUGAUGAACACGACCACUAUAUAUAUGUUCAACGUGCUCGUGUUUAUUGUCUGCUUUUACUUGGUGGUCUGAUGAUCCCGAACGCCUCCGGAAAUAAAAUUCCAUUCUUCUACUUGUAACUUUUCAUGGAUGUAGAACGAUGUUCUAGCUAUAGCUGGGGUGGUGCGACUAUUGCUUGUUUGUACCACAAUUUAUGUGAAGCUGCCCUUGCUAGGAGGAGCGAUGUUGGGGAGCUUGUACGUUGUUACAAUUGUGGGCUUGGGAGAGAAUCUCAAAUAUUAGGCCGAAGAUGCUAAAUCUCGUGCAUAUAAACUACGCACCAUGUGCAGUCCCGUAAGUUGUUCACUAAUUAAUUUUUUAAGCAUAAUUUUCAUUAAUUUCCUUGUUAUUCGCUCUUAAUUUAAUUUUUUAGAUUAAGUGGUCCGGCGUCAUAUGUAAAAGCACCCGGGCAUUGCAUUGAAAAUUUCAGAGAUCAGUUCUCCAGAAUGCACGCCAACCAAGUAAUUUAUGUAACUUAAAUUGUUUAUUGUUUGCUGUUUUGAUUGAAUUUGUUUUGACUAAAUUUGUUUCAUAUGUAGUUUAUUUGAAGGCCUUAUGUAAUGCGAAACUUUCCAAAUAUUUGUGUUGACGGUCGUCCUAUAUGGACGUCGAUCACAACCCUUAUUUGCUAGAAUUUGGUUGAGCCAUACUUUCCACAGCGAGUGUUGCGACAAUUUGGGAUUGUCCAACCGUAUAUCCCGCUCCUCAACCGAUUCCACGGUACUGAUUUUGUGAAACAGGAUCGUCGUGGUAAAUCUGGUCGAAAUUGGGUUGAGUACCACGCCAAUCAUAUACAGGAGUGGGACAAUAGGCACAACUUGGUUUGGACUGAUCUAGAGUACUCAAAUGAGCCUAUUGCAACUGAUAAAUAUAUGGAUUGGUUUCGCCGAAUAACUGUGGUGUACUUAACUAAACCUGGUGUGCAUGCUCAAGAGGGCUUCCAUGAAACGACAUAUUCUCAUAGCUUCGCGGUUGAGACGCUUCAAAAAAUACGUCACUUUCUAAGUGAGCAAGAUAUGACAUGACGACCAGAUUUGGUAACAAUUUCGAGAAUGGUUGAAUAAGGUCUGCAGAUAUCUGGGGAGGCUGAGAUGAUGGACUACCGUCCUUCCCAGCGCUCUGAGCUGGACAUUGACAUGCCCGUGAGACAAAAAGGGGAACGACGUGGAAAGAAGAAAACUUUUUGUGGAGAGUCACCAUCUUCAAGGAUGGAUGUUCAUUUGGUAGAUGAUUCCAAUGAAGAUUUUGUGCCUCCACCUCCACCUAGAUCUGCAGUUCGAGGUCGUCAUUCUGUCAGCCACACGGGUGGUACUGGUGAAGAUAUUGGUCUCAGUGAUAUCCACCAUUCUCUACCUCGGUCUUCAGUGCGAGAUGACUUUUUUGGGGUGGAUUUAGAGAAUGCUGUUGUUCAAGAUAGUCCUCCCUCUAGACUCCCUACUUCCAGAAUCGAGAAGGGGAUCCAUGGCCUGUUUAUGCGGAGAAGGCGAGACGAUUGAACUAAACUACAUCUAUUUUUAUUGGUUUAUUGAGUUGAACUUCGUGUUUGUCAAGUGAGAAUGAUUGCAAUAUUUUGAAUAAGCAUUGUAGUAAGCAGGAUUGGGUAGAAACGGUUGGCUGAAACUUAAUGCCAAACAUUCUGACUAAAAACGCCAACGUGAAAGGCGUGUUUACUAGAGAACGCCUACUUGGUUGGCGUUUUUAUCAGAACAUGCCAAGUAGGUUGGCUUCUUUAAGAAAAACGCCAGUCCCGUUGGCGUUUUACACUUUGAUGUUUAGGCGUGUUUCUACACAACGCAAUACAACCAUUCUGUAUUGACUCACCAACUUGGUUGGCGUUUUUAAGAAACAUGCCGAUCAGGUUGGCGUUUUCACGUAAAACGCCAGUUUCGUUGGCGUUUUAAACUUUGAUUUAUCGCCCGAGUUUCUAGUAGACGCAAUACAACCAUUCUGUAUUGACUCGCCAACGUGGUUGGCGUUUUUAUGAAACACACCAACUUGGUUGGCUUUUUUAGGUAAAAACGCCAACGGCAAUGGCGUGUGUUAGUAAAAACGCCAUCGAGACUGGCGUUUCAAUGCAGAAACAUUUUGUGUUUAACAUACCCUACAGAGCCACCAUCACAAUACAAUAACAAAAAUACAUUAUGUAACAUAUUGAAUACUACAUAAGUCCAGACAAAAUACCACAAGUCCAAAUAGUAAUCAAUACAUAAGUCCAAAUAGUAAUCAAUACAUAAUUCUAAACAAUUAAGAAGUCAGGCAGUUGUGCCUGUCGUGACCCGGUUGACAGCAUUUUUUACAACGUCGUCGGGCUCGUGGCUACUUCACGGACAUCCAUCUGAUUAGGAAUCCUAGUUGUAUGGUAUCGACCGCGACUUCGAGGCAUUAACUGAGUUCGUGAACACUGCAAAGUCCAUUCAGGCACGUCCCAAUAAGCUGGGUGUCUGAGUGGAUUGAACACCCCAGAAUAUUGGUGUACCCAAACACUGUGUGGUAUACGGGAUUAGCAAGCGAUAUCAUGUUGUCAUUUCUAAACUGCGCAACUGCCGCUGCAUGUGAACACGGAAGUCUCCACAUCUGCCACUUUUUACAUUUGCAGUUUGACACCAAGUACAACACCUUCCACUUGUUACCAACCUUUCCACCAAUUCGACGUCUUGUUCGAACCACAUAAAUCCCUUGAAUUGUAUUUGUUGCUCUCACAUUAUGUAACUGACCAAAUAAUAAUUUUUGCACACCUUUUCAUGUGCCCACGGGGUAAGUGGUGUCGCACAC